UAUUAUUAGUAUUAGAUACAUAAACUUUUGGAGUUUAAAUAAUAAGUUCAAAUCUUAUAAUAAUAA
rnacentral:tRNA from 1 species